UCUCGCUGGGGUGAGAGGACAUUACAUAGAUGUAACGUGGUUUGUAAAAGUAACUCACAAAAUAGUGUAAACGCACGUAGAAAGUUCUAGGUCGCUACACAAAAAUCAUUUAUUGCACUGGAAGACAACCCCCCUCCCACAUUCCAUAACAAUUUAGGUAUCAGAGAAGUUUCUGUAAUUUUUCCAGGGUCCCCAAACAGUCUCAUACUGGUGAGAGGUACGGGAGUCCCAGUGUGCUAUUUGCUCAAGACGGUACAAUUGAUCGCAUUUCUGUAUCGUGGCAUUGGAGGAGAAUCCGUAGACUUCCAUCUCACAGCUAUCAAUAGUCUAGCUCAGUCUGAUAUUGCAAAGAAUAUGGGUGGGUUUAGAGCAUUUGAGACCACUAUAUACCGCAUAACUUGGGAGAUGCAGGGACAGGAAGCUCGCAGAGUUCUGAGAUGGUUUUGCAAACGAGCUGCCAGUAGGGUUUUAUUUUAGAGCAAGUCCACCAAAUGUGGCCGUGAGUGCCUAAGUCACACCGGCAUCUCCAACACUUGGGAGCGCAUUCCGGGAAGAGGGUUCAGAGUAGGGCAACUGAAGUAAUAACUGGAAUGGGUGGACUACAGUACCCUGAAAGAUUAUUAGGGUUA